AAGGAUCAUUAUCGAUUUUCCCAGCUUGUGCGGGGAGAAGCGAAUAAAAACCUCGGGCUCCCAUGCCUUGGGACCUUGGCCUGUCUGCCAUUGUCCGCCAGGUCGGUCCUUGAGCGCUUGCGGCUAUUUGGCUGCUUGGGCUCGGCCGACCGCCCGGUCGGAGGUGCUGUGCGCCGUUGUCGAAUCCCAUUCGAAAGGCGGUAAUUCAGCRUUUAAAGAGCCUCGCCUCCGGCUCGGGUUCUGUGCUCCCCCUUGUUGGGCUUGUGGAAAACGGUACAGACAACAAACCUAACUGGCCUYAGMGCCGGAAACCCCAAAUACAACACUAUACAGUGGAUCAUUUGGCUCGGGGGUCGAUGAAGAACGGAGCUAACUCCGUGACGCAAUGUGAACUGCAGGACACAUGAACAUCGACAUUUUGAACGCAUAUUGCGGACAUGUGCUUGUUGCAUGUCCAUGUUUGGGUCAGGGUCGGUUGAACAUCCAUCAGAACGCUUGCUCGUGUUCUGCAAUGGGCUGUCCUGCCUCCUCCACCGGGGGAAGCGGGUAGCCUCAAGUUGACUUGUGCAGUGCUCUGCCGAAUGACUCUUGGGUCGUAAAAAGCCUGGGUCGCCUGCAGAUAAGCCUUCACAGGGGAUCGGCCGUUAGCUGAGGCUUCGGUYGUGACAAACU
rnacentral:misc_RNA from 1 species